GGUCACUCACUUGGUUCCAGUUUCUGGUCCAAGGAGCUUGUCUCAGGCUCUGCCCUUUGCAAGAUUGCAGUGACUGGCAAAAAGAAUGACCUCAUCUCUUUGGCUCAAGUUGUCAGCUUGCCUAAUCUCUGAAGUCUUCUAUGACUCAGGUAGGUGAUGCUCUGAUGCUGCUGCCUCUUAUGAAUUGACGACAGGUGCAGAGAGAGAAUAAACUGUGUCUAAGACUGGACCAGAGAGUGAGUGUGCUGGAAGCCACCAUAGGAACAAGCGACCUGUUUGGCAAGGAAUACAGCAUCCUUCUGAGAGCCUCUUCUCGACACUAUCCCACAGACCAGGACUUCCUCAUGGGAAAGAGCACUUAGGAUCUUGCUAUCAGCUGCCCUAAACUUUUGCUGAGCCAAAAUAAGACUUUGAUGCAGAACUGAACAAGAUAUUUCAUUUUUGUGUGUUUUAAUCUUGCUGGUUGCAGUCUUAGUUGUUCAGCCCUGAGAAUUUUGAGCCACAUUUGUUGCUAUUAUUUUUGCAUGCACUUUUCAAAAUGAUUGACUUAAGCUUCCUGACUGAAGAGGAACAAGAGGCCAUCAUGAAGGUUUUGCAGCGGGAUGCUGCUCUGAAGAGGGCCGAAGAAGAGAGAGUCAGACAUUUGCCUGAAAAAAUUAAGGAUGACCAGCAGCUGAAGAAUAUGAGUGGCCAAUGGUUUUAUGAAGCCAAGGCAAAAAGGCACAGGGACAAAAUCCAUGGUGCAGAUAUCAUCAGAGCAUCUAUGAGAAAGAAGAGGCCCCAGGUAGAAGCUGAGCAGAGUAAAGACAGAGAAAAUGGGGCAAAGGAAAGCUGGGUGAAUAAUGUCAACAAAGAUGCUUUCCUUCCUCCAGAGCUGGCUGGCGUUGUAGAAGAGCCAGAAGAAGAUGCGGCACCAGCAAGCCCGAGUUCCAGUGUGGUAAAUCCAGCUUCCAGUGUGAUUGAUAUGUCCCAGGAAAAAACAAGGAAACCAAAUGUGUCUCCAGAGAAGCAGAGGAAGAAUCCGUUUAAUAGCUCCAAGUUGCCAGAAGGUCACUCGUCACAACAAACUAAAAAUGAACAGUCAAAAAAUGGAAGAACUGGUUUAUUUCAGACUUCAAAAGAGGAUGAAUUGUCAGAGUCAAAAGAAAAGUCAACUGUCGCAGAUACUUCAAUCCAAAAGUUAGAGAAAUCAAAGCAGACUUUGCCAGGCCUUUCAAAUGGGUCCCAAAUCAAGGCUCCAAUCCCCAAAGCCAGGAGGAUGAUCUACAAAUCGACUGAUUUAAACAAAGAUGAUAACCAGUCUUUUCCUAGACAAAGGACAGACUCCCUGAAAGCGAGAGGGGCUCCGAGAGGGAUCCUCAAGCGCAACUCCAGUUCCAGUAGCACAGACUCAGAAACCCUUCGUUAUAAUCACAACUUUGAACCCAAAAGCAAAAUUGUGUCACCUGGCCUAACCAUCCAUGAGAGAAUUUCUGAGAAGGAGCAUUCUUUAGAAGACAACUCUUCCCCAAACUCCCUGGAGCCAUUAAAGCAUGUGAGAUUCUCUGCAGUGAAGGAUGAGCUUCCACAAAGUCCUGGGCUAAUCCAUGGUCGGGAAGUAGGAGAAUUUAGUGUUUUAGAAUCUGACAGAUUGAAAAAUGGAACGGAAGAUGCAGGGGACACAGAAGAGUUUCAGAGUGACCCUAAGCCUUCUCAAUACAGAAAGCCUUCGCUUUUUCAUCAAUCAACCUCAAGCCCAUAUGUAUCAAAAAGUGAAACACAUCAGCCAAUGACUUCUGGUUCUUUUCCAAUUAAUGGGCUGCAUUCUCAUUCAGAAGUUUUAACUGCAAGACCACAGUCCAUGGAGAAUUCACCAACCAUCAAUGAACCCAAAGAUAAAUCAUCAGAAUUAACAAGGCUUGAAUCUGUAUUACCCAGAAGCCCCGCUGAUGAGCUGUCUCAUUGUGUUGAGCCUGAGCCAUCUCAGGUGCCAGGUGGCAGUUCUAGAGACCGUCAGCAAGGUAAGCCCCCUCCUCUCCCGGCUCUAAAAGCUAAGACGUCUUCACGUUCUGGUCCAUAUGCCACUGAGAUAAAGAAGUCAAUUGAUGAUUCCAUAUUUAAAGUUCUAGACUGGUUUAACCGAAGUUCUUAUUCAGAUGACAAUAAGUCAUUCCUCCAACAUCCCCGAGGAAUAGAGUCCAAAGAAAAAACAGACUCAAAAUCACAGGUUGCUAUUGACUUGGUGACAGAUGACACUACUUUAAGAGAAAAUGGCUCAAAGACCCUAUCACCCAGCAAAAUUGAAUUGAAGCCUGUGAGAUCUGACUCACCAUUCCAAGCAGAGGGAGAUAUGCUGGUUUCUGAAAGUUGCCAAGAUAAUAAUGUGAAUAUCAAAUCCAAAUUCAUGAAUUUGUCCCAAAAAGGCACCCCAAAGGAAGGCCCAGGUAUAUUGCAACCAUUUGAAAGCUAUGGCACCCCAAGUCAAGGGAGUAAAAAUAUGGACUAUAGCCAAGAUUCAAAAAGCCCAGGAAAAGGGAAUGGGGCAUCUCCUUCAAAUAGUAACUAUUCCUACAGUGUUCUCAAGGAAUCUGAUGCAGAAAACCAAGUUCCAUGCAACACUAAUAAUAUUGGCAACUUGGGUGAAGAAGAACCCAAGUUUCAUGCUCAUGAAGAAAAUAGAGGACACUCAGAAGUGAAUUUUGACUCUUCAACAGUUGUCAAAGAAGCAGGUUUGAAAGAUAACAUGAACGCAGAGAGAAAGAGUAAAGUAGGAAAUACCUAUAUCCUGAAAGCCUCCUUAGAGCCAGAGAAUAUUAAGUCAACACCUGGGGUUGCCAACAAUGGCUCUCCUUGGAAGAAGCCUGAGGUCCAAUUCCAGCAAGAAGCUGGUGAGGUUCCCAAGAGCCAAGUGCAGAGAGAGAAAUACAAAAGAGUGAGUGACAGAAUAUCCUUUUGGGAAGGAGAGAAAGCUGCUGCUAAGAUAACUCAUAAAAAACCCACAUCUUCAUGUAGCCAGGAACAACCUUCUGCUAAAGCAUAUCAGCCUGUGAAGAAGUCACAGGGUGUAUCAUCCAUGGACAGUUUAUCUACAGACCAGAGUGAAUAUAAUCAGGCCAUUCCCAAACGAGUGGUCUUAGAUGAGGAUGAUCAAGCAUCCCAGCUCUCCAAUUCUUAUUCCUCAAAUAAAUCUAAAGAGACCAAGCCACAAAUAGCAGGUCCAUCCAGAAACUAUCUUUCAGCUGAGCAAUCAGAUAAAGUGUCUCUGUUUCAGAAUAAGAAAAAUGAGCCUAUAAAAAGAUCACAAGUGGCAGACAGUUUGCCUUCUAGAAGAAACAUUACUUUACCAGCACUGCAACAUCCCUCAAAUGUCGGGAGUGAACGACAUGCUGCAUUGGAGAAAGACAGACCUCUAGUUUGUGAAUCAAAUGCCAACUUUAAAGUUAUGUCCCUAAAAGAAAGAAUGGAUGAACCCAAUGCAGAACAGGUCUAUAAUCCCUCUCAGUUUGAGAAUUUGAGAAAGUUUUGGGACUUAGAAGCUAAUUCAAACAGUAAGGAUAAUGACAAGAAUAUUACCAUCACAAGCCAAAAAAAUUCUGCACCUUUUAAUAGGCAGAAACACAAGGAAUUCAGCGACAUUAAAUUAUCAGGUAAAAAUACCCAUGAAGCAGAGGUGCUUCUAAGCCCAAAAAAAGUUAUGGCAAGAGAGGAAAUGGAGAAAUUAAAUUCAAACAGCAUACUCCAGGUGCUACCAGAUGAAAUCACAUUUCCUUUGAGUCCACUUAGAAAGUAUACUCAUCAGUUGCCAGGAAAUGAGACAUCAAAGGAAAACGUGGAAAAGAAUACGGAAGGGAUUGUUACUCCAGUGUUUAAGGAAGAAAAGGAUUACUCAGAACAAGAGAUUCAAGAAUCCAUAAUAAAAACCAAUGUUUUGUCUAAAGACUGCAAAGACACUUUUAAUGACAGCUUGCAGAAACUGCUUUCAGAAACCUCAACACCAGCAAUUCAACCCUCUGGUGGAAAAGUUCAUGGAAAACAAGUGCUUGAACCAAGUGUUUCUGAAAAUAGGACAUGGCCUCAAAAAACAGAUUUUGCUGAUACUGAGGAAGAAGUCAAAGGACCUGAGAAGAUCAUUAAUGAGCAUGUUGACAAAACAGUAGUUCAUCCAAAGGUUAAACGGAACUCUUUGACUGCUAGUCUAGACAAACUCCUGAAGGAAGCAACUGGAACUUCACCCUCUCCCUUGCAAACCAAGUUGGCGCCCGUUAUCACUGGAACCAACUCUAAGCUGGAAGAGGGGAGAUUUUUUGGAAAAGGGAUAGAACAGAGUCACAAUACUUCAGCUGAUAAGAGAGAAAUACUAGCUCCUUUUCCAGUGAGAGAUGAAACUUUUGGAAAUACAGCUCUCCUCAAGAAAGCUGAAAGUGGUGAGUGCCAGCUAAGCACAGAGAAUUUGAUUCAGAUGGCUGCAGAAGAUUCUCAUCCAUUGGAUCCAACUUCCCAGCUUUCCAGAAAGGGUUCUUUUGGGGAUGUGGCCAGCCCUCCCCAAGAUAUGCUUUUUCCCCAGGAUGCUCAUCUUGUUCCCCAGGCUAGGGUACACCCUUCUCAAACGGAAAUUUCGGAGACUGUAGAGAAAGUCAUUCUUCCACCCAGACCUGUAUUGAAUGAUGUAAAUGCUGCAUUACAGAAGCUGUGUAGAGAAGUAUGGUUAAGUUAUCCAGCUGGAAGGGAAGUAGGUCCUGGAGAAGUGAACCCAGAAUUUCCUGAAGCAGUACAGCCAGUAUGUAGCCCCCUAAAUCCUCCAGGAGUGAUAUCACCAUGGGCUACGAUGGACACCAUAGUUCCAGACAGGAAGGAUUUUUAUUCCUCCAAUGUAGUUCCUGAUAAAACUCAUGAAGUUGGAUCUUAUUUAGCUGCCCAAAUGUCUCCAUCAGACCAGACGCUUAGCUCAUUUGCUUCCAUUGUUGCUCAAUAUGGCAAAGGCCUACCUCAGGAAGUGGAAGAAAUUGUGAGGGAAACAAUUAUUCAACCCAAAUCAGAGUUCCUCGAAUUCAGUGCUGGCUUAGAAAAACUACUGAAGGAAGAAACUGAAACCUUCCCCUCAAAAUAUGAAAGUGAUACAGGGAAUCUUUCUCCAUCAAAGUUAAUAGGUAGUACAGAGGAGCCCAGGCGAGCCACUUCUGAAUUCCAUCCUGAGGAAUUAAAAGAAACAGUAGAAAAGGCCGAGGCUCCGUUAAUAACUGAGAGUGCUUUUGAUGCUGGUUUUGAGAAACUUCUUAAAGAAAUAACUGAAGCUCCUCCUUAUCAGCUCCAGGUGUCAGUGAGAGAAGAAACUCAUGAGAAGGAGUCCUCACAGUCAGAGCAGACCAGGUUCUUGGGGACAGUGCCCCAUUUUUACAGGGCAGCCUCACAGACCUCUGAAAUGAAGGAUAAAAGUAAUGGUUUGGAAUCUCAAGUCAACCAAUGUGAUAAAAUGUUGGGAGGAGACGCACUUGUGACUGAUUUAUUGGUAGAUUUUUGUGGUUCCAGAAGUGGAGUUGAGAUCCCUAGAACCCCACAACUUUAUGUGGCUCAUGAAAUAGGGACCAUUAAAACUGUAACCCCCCCAGAGGACAGGGACAGUGAAAGUGGGGUUGCAGGGGGACAAGGGACUUUUCAGGAACCUGGCUUUGGAGAGGCUUCUGAAGCAAUUAGUGUGUCCAGAAAUAGGCAACCCAUUCCUCUCCUGAUGAACAAAGAAAACUCUACAAAAACAAGUAAAGUUGAAUUGACUCUAGCAUCGCCAUAUAUGAAACAAGAGAAAGAGGAAGAAAAAGAAGGUUUCUCUGAGUCUGAUUUUUCAGAUGGAAACACCAGUUCUAAUGCAGAGAGCUGGAGAAAUCCUUCCAGUUCAGAAGAAGAACCCAGUCCUGUUUUGAAAACUUUGGAAAGGAGUGCCACUAGGAAAAUGCCUUCCAAAAGUCUAGAAGACAUUUCAUCAGAUUCAUCAAAUCAAGCAAAAGUAGAUAAUCAGCCAGAAGAAUUAGUGCGUAGUGCUGAAGAUGAUUUUUAGUUGAACAGGAGACCUUAAAGAGGCUAAUGAAGAACAGUCACAGUGAGGAAUGGAUGAAAGCAAGAUGAAAACCUGUCAGAUGUAUUCUGCUGUCUCAGUUGUGAAACUGACAUUUGAGCUUUACUUUCAUGUCUCUUUAAUCCUUCUGUUAAAAUGGUAUUUAUUCUCAAUGUUGCCCUCCUGAGUAGAUGAGAAACCAGAUCAGAAGCCAGUUACAAAUGAAUGCAUACCAAGAAUUUCCACAGUGCCUACACAACCUGAUAAUCCAUUUUCUCACCCUGACAAACUCAAAAGGAUGAGCAAGUCUGUUCCAGCAUUUCUCCAAGAUGAGGUGAGUGGCAGUGUGAUGAGUGUUUAUAGUGGAGACUUUGGCAAUCUGGAAGUUAAAGGAAAUAUUCAGUUUGCAAUUGAAUAUGUGGAGUCACUGAAGGAGUUGCAUGUUUUUGUGGCCCAGUGUAAGGACUUAGCAGCAGCGGAUGUAAAAAAACAGCGUUCAGACCCAUAUGUAAAGGCCUAUUUGCUACCAGACAAAGGCAAAAUGGGCAAGAAGAAAACACUCGUAGUGAAGAAAACCUUGAAUCCUGUGUAUAAUGAAAUACUGCGGUAUAAAAUUGAAAAACAAAUCUUAAAGACACAGAAAUUGAACCUGUCCAUUUGGCAUCGGGAUACAUUUAAGCGCAAUAGUUUCCUAGGGGAGGUGGAACUUGAUUUGGAAACAUGGGACUGGGAUAACAAACAGAAUAAACAAUUGAGAUGGUACCCUCUGAAGCGGAAGACAGCACCAGUUGCCCUUGAAGCAGAAAACAGAGGUGAAAUGAAACUAGCUCUCCAGUAUGUCCCAGAGCCAGUCCCUGGUAAAAAGCUUCCUACAACUGGAGAAGUGCACAUCUGGGUGAAGGAAUGCCUUGAUCUACCACUGCUAAGGGGAAGUCAUCUAAAUUCUUUUGUUAAAUGUACCAUCCUUCCAGAUACAAGUAGGAAAAGUCGCCAGAAGACAAGAGCUGUAGGGAAAACCACCAACCCUAUCUUCAACCACACUAUGGUGUAUGAUGGGUUCAGGCCUGAAGAUCUGAUGGAAGCCUGUGUAGAGCUUACUGUCUGGGACCAUUACAAAUUAACCAACCAAUUUUUGGGAGGUCUUCGUAUUGGCUUUGGAACAGGUAAAAGUUAUGGGACUGAAGUGGACUGGAUGGACUCUACUUCAGAGGAAGUUGCUCUCUGGGAGAAGAUGGCAAACUCCCCCAAUACUUGGAUUGAAGCAACACUGCCUCUCAGAAUGCUUUUGAUUGCCAAGAUUUCCAAAUGAGCCCAAAUUCCACUGGCUCCUCCACUGAAAACUACUAAACCGGUGGAAUCUGAUCUUGAAAAUCUGAGUAGGUGGACAGAUAUCCUCACUUUCUAUCUAUUGCACCUAAGGAAUACUACACAGCAUGUAAAAGUCAAUUUGCAUGUGCUUCUUUGAUUACAAGGCCCAAGGGAUUUAAAUAAUAACAAAAUGUGUAAUUUGUGACUCUAAUAUUAAAUAAGAUAUUUGAACAAGCUAGGAAAAUUGAAUUUCUGCUGCUGCUUCAAAGAAAAAGCUGCCCCAGAGCAUUAAACAUGGGGUAUUGUUAAGAAGCAAAAUGUUCUUGUUUGCCAUCAUGUGUUUCACACCACAAUUCUGUGCCACAGUUAAGAGGGUCUGGUACCCUUGCAGGACCUUUGUAGGUUGUGGGAAAAAGUCACAGAAAGAUACUCAAAGUGGAGCGGGGAAUGGAGACAGAACAUCAGUGAUGAUAAAAAAAAAAAUGUACCUUAAGAAACUAUUUACUCUGUAAUCUCUAAUAAAAUAUGGAAUUCCAUAUUAGGGCAAUGAGA